rnacentral:rRNA from 1 species
UACGGAGGGUGCAAGCGUUGUCCGGAAUCAUUGGGCGUAAAGCGCACGUAGGCGGCUCUUUAAGUCUCUUGGUGAAAGGCUGGGGCUCAACCCCAUGCAUGCCGGGGAUACUGGGGAGCUGGAGACAGGUAGAGGCCAGCGGAAUUCCGGGUGUAGCGGUGGAAUGCGUAGAGAUCGGGAGGAACAUCAGUGGCGAAGGCGGCCAUCUGGGACAACACUGACGCUGAAGCACGAAAGCGUGGGGAGCAAACAGG